rnacentral:rRNA from 1 species
GUCUUUUUGAAUUUAAAUUUAAAGUCUAAUCUGCCCACUGAUGUAUUUAAAUGGCCGCAGUAUCCUAACUGUGCAAAGGUAGCAUAAUCAUUAGUCUUUUAAUUGAAGGCUUGUAUGAAUGAUUGGACGAGAUAUAAGCUGUCUCACAUAAAUAAUUAGAAUUUUAUUUUUUAGUAAAAAAGCUAAAAUAUAUUUAAAAGACGAGAAGACCCUAUAGAUCUUUAUAUUAUUUAUAUUAUGAAUUUUAAGUUAUUUUUUUUUAUAAUAUUUUAUAAUAUUUUGUUGGGGUGACAUUGAAAUUAAAUUAACUUUCAUUAAUUUAUAAACAUUAAUUUAUGAAUUUAUGAUCCUUUAUUAUAGAUUAAAAAUUUAAGUUACCUUAGGGAUAACAGCGUAAUUAUUUUGGAGAGUUCUUAUCGAUAAAAUAGAUUGCGACCUCGAUGUUGGAUUAAGAUUAAUUCUAGGCGUAGCAGUUUAGUUUAUUAAGUCUGUUCGACUUUUAAUUUCUU